rnacentral:hammerhead_ribozyme from 1 species
AUCCAGCUGACGAGUCCCAAAUAGAACGAAACACUCGUCAAACUGGAU